CAACACAAUAUUACUGUAGUGUUUGGUGUCAGGCCGUAUCUGUUCCGGCGUUUCCGGUAUGCGGAGCCGGCCCCGCCCCCUUUCUGACGUGGCUCUCUUACGCUAUAUAGAGAGACCGCGCCAGAUUCAAACCGCUUGGUGAUUCUCGGACCUACUUCCGCAUUCAAACGCCGGCUAAGCUCUUCGUUCACAAAGUUAACAAACCUUUGACUAUUAUUAAGGACUUUGCCUUCUCUGUACCUCUGACCACGGAUUGUAUUGGAGUCUCCUGAAAACCGGACUGUGUAUAUCAUUCAUCCCUUGGAUUCAAGCUAUACAUUCCCAUGGAGGACAACUCCCAUCAAUCUUAAGUAUACUAAUUACUCUAAUCUCUGAAGACUUACUUACUAAUGAACUGUUUCUUGCUUGCUAUAAUCUUCAGUUACUUCCUAAUGAAUUAUUACUUACAUGCUAUUCCCAUGGAGGACAACUCCCAGCAAUCUUAAGUAUACUAUUCACUUCUACCUCUGAAGAUUUAAUUACUAAUGAACUGUUUCUUGCUUGAUAUAACCUGCAGUUACUUCCUAAUGCAUUGUUACUUACAUGUUAUAAUCCUCAGUUACUAAAAUAUUAUUGCAUUCAUUAAG